rnacentral:misc_RNA from 1 species
CCCGGCUCUGACAUGAAACUUUAAUAUUGGGUUUGUUUAGGAAUCACCGUGCAGUGACACAAUUGUUUCAAGUUCUGCUUUGCCGUAAUCGAGAGUUUAUAAGUGAUUGUUGCUGGUUGACUUCAUAUAAAAAUGUAUACAGUAUAUUAAAAGGAUUUGAAAAUAUCACGCCUGUUUCAAUUCUGUUGCGGUAGCAAGAAUUCGCCAGGAGUGGGGUCUG